GAUGAACGCUGGCGGCGUGCCUAAUACAUGCAAGUCGAGCGAACAGACGAGGAGCUUGCUCCUCUGACGUUAGCGGCGGACGGGUGAGUAACACGUGGAUAACCUACCUAUAAGACUGGGAUAACUUCGGGAAACCGGAGCUAAUACCGGAUAAUAUAUUGAACCGCAUGGUUCAAUAGUGAAAGACGGUUUUGCUGUCACUUAUAGAUGGAUCCGCGCCGCAUUAGCUAGUUGGUAAGGUAACGGCUUACCAAGGCAACGAUGCGUAGCCGACCUGAGAGGGUGAUCGGCCACACUGGAACUGAGACACGGUCCAGACUCCUACGGGAGGCAGCAGUAGGGAAUCUUCCGCAAUGGGCGAAAGCCUGACGGAGCAACGCCGCGUGAGUGAUGAAGGUCUUCGGAUCGUAAAACUCUGUUAUUAGGGAAGAACAAAUGUGUAAGUAACUAUGCACGUCUUGACGGUACCUAAUCAGAAAGCCACGGCUAACACGUG
rnacentral:rRNA from 1 species